rnacentral:tRNA from 1 species
ACUAUUUUGGCAGAAUAAAGUGCAACAGAUUUAGAAUCUGUAAAUAUGAUUUUUUCAUAUAUAGUA